CGUUAGUUCUACCGACGCCUUAUCGGUUAUAAUUAGUACGUAUACAAUACACAGUAGCGUAUAUAGCUUACUGUUAUGUGUUUAUAAAGUAUUGUACAUUUAUUUUUUAUUUAAUAGUACACUCAAGAUUUUUUUUUUAGAUGCAGUGCCUUAUUUAUUUAUUUAUGUAUGUAUUUAUGUACAAAUCAAGUCCCUCAGGUAAAUAGGUGCUAGUGUAGAAAAAUAAAAUAAAACAAUAAAAACACAAGCUUUUUCAGUUUAAUCGUGAUUUAUUGACCCCCCCACCAGCCAGCCAGCCAGCUACAAGCAAAGCAGAAACGUAUCUAUUUUUCGGUUUUACUAAAACGAGUGACCCAGUGGCAAGGCAGGAAUGAGAUGCAAACUGCGCUUUCAACCAGUUUCUGAUGUAUAAUUCACUCAGGGAGAAACAAUGGAAACAUUUUGUAAAUAACAGAGACCAUGAAUUCAUAUAUUUCGUGCAAGAUCGGACAUGAUCAAUAAGUGUUGUUGCAUCUUUAUUUAAGGUUAGAAGGCCCUCCUGUUGGUGUGAGUGGAGCACCCUCAGAAAACAACACCCUGCUGUGGAAUGACGUCAUAUUUGGGUAAAUAAAGACGCACUGGCCUGAAGGGACACGUAUGAAGACGCGUAUGCAGAUGGUAGCAUAUGCCUUGAUAUUCUGCAGAAUCGCUGGAGCCCAACCUUGACAUAUCUUCUAUUCUGACCUCCGCACAGCCCUUACUGGAUGAACCCAAUCCAAACAGUCCAGCAAACAGCCAAGCUGCUCAGCUUUACCAGGACAACAAAAGAGAAUACGAAAAGUGGGUUUCAGCAAUAGUGGAGCAAAGCUGGAGAGACAACUGACCAAGUCAUUUUUCAAGAACACUAAACUAGUUCUGAGCACCUUGCCCCUCAGAAUUGUGCUUCUCUAUAUGGACACAAGCUGCAUCACACACUCAAAAGAUCACUCAUGUGAGCAUGCACACAUUAGGAAAGUUGUGCCACCCAGUUGAUUAGUUAUAAUUUGCCUGCAGAACUUUCGUUGUAGCUGUACUUGAUUUUCUUAGAGGGAGUGCCCAUUAAAUCUGUACAGGUUUGUACAUCCAAGUCUGUCUGUGUGAAACUUUGUUUGAGGAGAAUUUUUAUUUACUGUGUAAAUGUAAGACUGGUAUAGCACACUUCCAGCAUGCCGCCUGUGUUCUUAAUGCAUUCUGUUUGUAUGCUGUCCUGUAUCUCUCUGUGUGUCAUUUCUACUGUAAAGCACAAGCCAAUGAUAAAAAUGAGUCCAGCUGUGUUGUGGGCUAUAAUAUUUGUAUGAACACUUUAUGUACUUGCUGUUUAUACGUUUGAAGUUGUAUAGAUUUUGCACUGGUGAUUUUUUUCAGCGCGCUUAUAAAAAAAAAAAACAAAAAAAAAAAAACAACAAA